GACAAGGCGUAGAGGUUGGAGGGCAAGCCAACGGUUCCCGACUAUUUGAGCCAGUGGGCAAGGUCUAGCUCUUCAGACCUCUUGCUCUCCCUGCUAGGAUCUUUUCCUGAUGAAAGGUCCUUUUGAAAUGUUCAUUCUCUUCUCACCAAGUUGAACAGGGCUCUGUUCCCACAGCAGGUGUAAGCUCCCUGCAUUUGCUGCCUUCUCUGUUUUCUUAACCAACACUACAACCCCAUUCACGUGCUUGGGAAGCUGACAAUGACUGUUGGGCCUUUGCAAUGGAUCCACCAGUGGGCCAUUUCCUACAGCCCAGGGGGAGACAGAAUAAUUGGCAGCAACUCCUGCAGCCUUGGUGGAGGAAAGAAUAAUUGGCAGCUAAAGACCAAACAGGAACCUGGACAAGAUGUGGUGAUGGUCACAGCCCAGAGGAGGAGCUUUAACCUGAGCACCAGCCACAGGAGGCAGACCACCUUCUCUGCCCCAGUGAGAGUGAAUGUAGGCCCCCACCCCAGGGCCUCAAAUGCUUUCUCGGUCAUCCCCUAGGUACUAGGUUUGUUCUCCAGGCCUACUACAGGUGCCCCCCCCCAACCCAACACCCCCAGUGAUUAGAACUGUUAGGUAGUGUGAACUAAAAUAAAAUCUUAAGGUUCACUCCCCACCCACUAACUGAAUGGACCCCCUCGUGGCCAAAGGGAUA